rnacentral:rRNA from 1 species
CCUACGGGAGGCAGCAGUAGGGAAUAUUCGGCAAUGGGGGGAACCCUGACCGAGCAACGCCGCGUGAACGAAGAAGUUACUCGUAAUGUAAAGUUCUUUUAACAGGGAAGAAAGAGCAAUUUGACGGUACCUGAAGAAUAAGCUCCGGCUAACAACGUGCCAGCAGCCGCGGUAAUACGUAGGGAGAGAGCGUUAUCCGUAAUUAUUGGGCGUAAAGGGUGCGUAGAGGGCAUGGUAAGUCUUUUGUAAAAAUGCUGGGCUCAACCCAGUAGGGCAAAAGAUACUGCAAAGCUAGAGUAUGACAGAGGCAAGUGGAACUACAUGUGUAGCGGUGAAAUGCGUAGAUAUAUGUAAGAACACCAGUGGCGAAGGCGGCUUGCUGGGUCGAUACUGACAUUGAGGCACGAAAGCGUGGGGAGCAAACAGGAUUAGAUACCCCUGUAGUC